GACGAACGCUGGCGGCGUGCCUAACACAUGCAAGUUGAGCGACGAACCAGGGCUUGCCCUGGGGCAAAGCAGCGAACGGGUGAGUAACACGUGGGUAACCUACCCCGAUAACCGGGACAACCCGAGGAAACUCGGGCUAAUACCGGAUGUUCUCACUGGACUUCGGUUCAGUGCGUAAAGGAAGCUUCGGCCUCCGUAUCGGGAGGGGCCCGCGGCCCAUUAGUUUGUUGGUGAGGUAACGGCUCACCAAGACCGCGAUGGGUAGCUGGUCUGAGAGGACGAUCAGCCACACUGGGACUGAGACACGGCCCAGACUCCUACGGGAGGCAGCAGUGGGGAAUCUUGCGCAAUGCGCGAAAGCGUGACGCAGCAACGCCGCGUGGGGGAAGAAGGCCUUCGGGUUGUAAACCCCUUUCAGGAGGGACGAAGGUUCGGCGGUGAAUAGCCGUCCGGACUGACGGUACCUCCACAAGAAGCCCCGGCUAACUACGUG
rnacentral:rRNA from 1 species